GAGGUCUUUGUCUCGUCGUCGUUUCAGCGAAUUCCAAGCUGGUUUUAGGUAAGUUGAUUCGCUACUCCUUUUAUUUUAUUUUAAUAAAUGGAUUGAUAGAUAUGUAGGUCGCGACAAUUUUUAUUAAUUUAGCAUAUGUAUAUUGUGAUGUUCGAUUUAGAUAAAUAGGUAAAUCAAGUAAUUAAGAUACAUAGUUUAAAGAGUUAAUAAAAAACUAGGAAUAAAAAAUAGAUUUUCUAGUGUAACAUGUAAUUUGGUUAAUGAAUAUAGUCGAUGCCCUGUUGUGAUAUCCAUGGUGCUUAAUGCUUGAUUUUAAGUGUUUCAUCCUUUUUAGUGUAGAUUAUCUAAGUUAUACUCGUAUACUCGUGCUCAUACAUGUGCAUCGUGCAUCUCAUGAGGUACGUUAAUUAAUCGAGCGAUGCGGAAGACAAGCCAAGUCGACCCCAAGUGCGGACUACUCCGCAUGGUGGUGCUGAUGGACGAACCCACCUAAUCAAGUGUUAGGACAAGGAUGAUCGUCAAGUGGACGUCGUCUAACAAACACUAACAUAGUGUUUAUUCCAGGCAAGCCCCGGUGCAUGCAACCCCUUCUUUGUAUUUUUAAAUUAUUUUUACACACUUUAAGUCUAGUGAAUGUGCAUUAAGUUUAUAGGAGUUGCUUGAAAACCCUUUGAUGCAUUGGCUACCUUGAUAUCCAUCCCUUUUAUAGAUACUUCUGGUGAAGUAUCAAAAAAAAUUACAAAAAAUGCUUAGCCCUGCUUAUAAGCAGAUAGAGUUUGUCCUUUGCACUUAUGCCUAGCUCAGGUUUAUCGUGAGGAAGGAUGAUUUCUACCUGCAAGAAUAUUUUCAUUGGGAGCAUGGUGGGAUCUUACUGCAAAGUUCCCUAUAAUGCUCUUUUCAUCCUGGGGAGCACAAACACUCCUAAGGAUGGAAGUACUUAAAUCGGGACUUGGGCUAGGAACAGGUGAUGCUCCGCCCAGGUUAAUUAAGGAUUGGAUGCGUAUGUAGGCCUGUUGAUCAAGGACUAUCUUAACUAGCCACAUGCCCUGGAAAUGGGACAGGGUAAGCUUGAACCCGGCUAUUCCAUACGUGAAAAGACAAUCGCGCACUGGGCGUGGGAGAUGGUGGGAGUAGCGUGUACCCUCCUGGCUAGAGGCUGGAUGGAGGAGUACUGUGCUCCCGGGUAGCACGGACCGGUUCACGUUGUGGAGGAUCUGUGGGAACGGUUGACAUAUGCAAGGGUUAAGUGCUACAUAUGUCGUGUGGUUAGAAAUCCUCAGCUGAGUAAAUCGAUUCGGAUCGCCGUUAUAUCCCCGGAGAGUGGAGACUUGAUCUCCGACCUGCAACCUAAGUCAGGAUGUAAACAUUACGAGUAAAAAUGAUGUUGUAUUGAUGAGAUGGUGAAAUUAGACUAGGUGCAAACAGAGUCUAUUAAUAUUUAAUCUGGCAUUAAAAUAUUGAAAGUAAGGACUUACUUUAGUAAGCUUUUUCUGCAAAAGUAUCUAAGUUGAUUCUUGCUAGAUUCCUAAAUCCAGCAUAUCCUUGAGAGUCUUUUUCCUUAGUCGGGUAAGACUUGCGAAAGUACACUUCGUACUCAGGGCUUUGUCCCAUGUUGUUUUAGGUGAAGAGCCUACGGAGCUUUGCCACUUUUGUGCAAAGGUGGUUCCCAAGCAGGAGGAAGAACCGAAAAUAGAAGUGUGUUGCUGUGGAUGGUGGUAAGUGCCGGUGGGCUCGGCCUUCUUAUAAGUCUUAGUAACUCUUCUAUACUUCUUAUUGAGGAUGGUCACUUAAGCUAGCAUAUAUUUCAAACUUAUAAAUAAUUUAUAAUAUUUCAAAGUAUAUUUCUUUGAAUCACCUUUGUAAUCACUCCAAUCUUGUACAAUGUAAACUUGAUGUAACUUGUAAAAUUUGGUAAUAAGAUUUCCGCUGCAAAAAUGUUGGUGUGUGAUUUGUGUUUACUUAAUCUUGCGAUCUUGGUUGUUAGUGGUUCAUCCGAGGUCCUUGGGGCACUCGGACAGAUCCUGUUAAGUUAUUUGGUGCACAUGCAUAGCCGUCUGAGGUCUUUGAGACAAGGACAGGUGCAUGUGGGCCCAAUAACUUGGGAGGUUCUGCCACAGCUGGUACCGGAGCAGGAUUAAGUAUAUACGGUCACAUACGUAUUUUUAAAACAAAAGUUUUGGUUUCGAAAAACCUAUUUUCAACUAAACACAUUGUUUGGCUUUGAAAAACAAUUUUGAAAAACUAUAAUGCUAGCGACAUCCUCUGUUAAGCCCUAAACUAAGGAUUAUCAGGUGGCUUAGUUAAAAACCAUAACCCAUAACCGGGUGGGUAUUGCAUACAUGUGUAUUGUUAUUUUUGAGGCCAUUCAGUUCUGAAUGGAUCGACGCUCAAGGUAAGGUGAGAUGUGAGAGCAUGACUGAACAAACGUCGGUCUAGGGAAGAGUGUAAAAAGCGCUUGAUUAUAUACAUGUUUCACAUAUGUAUAUAUGAAGGCUGCGAUGUGGAGUAUUUACUUUUCUGGGAAUUUGGUACCCCAUGGAUGUGUAUGGGUAUACAGACAUGGGAAUACUGAGAAGUGUAAUGUACUUGUAACGACGCACCUACGCUCAGGUAAGGAGUUGAGUUACCAUAAUGAGUUGCCCUAUGGUUAAAGUGUGGCAACAACGCCCUAUGCGUGGCUCGACGCUUAAUGAUGAGCUGGCCUCCAUAUAGCAAUAUAUGGAGUAUAAACUGUGAUAAACUGUCAUGUGUGAACUGCAUCAUUGGAAAUUGGGCUGUGAUGGCUUUUUCUGGAGGUACAUUAACCUCGAAAACGUAUGUGUAGCUGACGACUAGCAAAAUACCGUGAGAGUCGUAAGUAUGCCACCGAUAUAGAACGUUAUUGCCACAUUAUGUUGGCAAAAACUCAGUGAGGACGAAUAAGACGAGCAUGCAUCCUGAUUGUUGCAUUAUGUUUGUCACCUAUACACCCAAAAUGCUUCCCUCAUCUUUAUUCCAGUAACCAGUGCUUGAGUUCCUAGGUUCUUGUAAGUCCUAGGUUUUGUGUAGUUUGUUUGCUUAAACCCAAAAUUAGGCCAUGUUCCUAUUUAGGGAACCAUGACCCAAAGUUGAUUUUUCCAUUAUCACUCCAUGACCAAACACAUAAAAAUAAAUGCCUAGAUAAUUUCUUUGUUCGACCUAAAGUGUACCCGAACUUGAAACAAGAAUCUCGAGUCAUGUCUCCAUCCUAAACCAUAUCCUUAUUCAGUUGGUGCAAGCUGAUGUCUCUAUUCUAGUUUGCCUGUUCUUGAAGAUUGCAAUGUUGUUUUAUCAACCUAACCUAGGAAAAGCAAGUCCAACCAUUUUCUUGAUUUGAUGCCUUUGGUUUCCUCAUGUUUAUCGAAGGCAUAUCAACUUAAUCCUUGACCUUGUGAUCUCUGCGAUGGGCAUAGAAAUAUGCUUGGGGCUGAAGUUACAGUCUCCCAUCGUACUCCCUCACCACCCAGUUUAGGUUAUGGCCAUGCCUUGUUCAUUUCAUCGGGCCAUGAUCUAUUUGGCUCUCUACUUGUAACCAUUCAUACAGGUGGAGUAUCUCUUUGUAUAUUAUCACCCUUGCCCAGUCUAUUUGUGUUGUGCGAGAUUUCUUAUUAGUUAUGUCUGGUAAUGGUGUUAUGACUAAAACUGGUGGUGCCGUGACGAAACCGAGGGCCUUCUGUGUGUGCGCACACAUGGUCGUGCUGCUCGGCACGCGCGAGUAUCACUGUUAGUAGUUGUAAUCCAUUAUGAGACUAUAUCAAUGUGUUAUCUUGGCACAAUCUGUUUUUGCUACGUGAGAUUCAUUAUUGGUGCUGUUCAGUAAUGGUGUUAUGAUUAAUGACUUAUGGUGCCGCUGCGAAACUGAGAGCCUCCUGUGAAUGCGCACACAAGAUUGUGCUACUCGUCGGAUGCUGGUAUCAAGGUCUCUGGUCAUGGUCCAUUGUGGAAUUACACUAAUAUGUUACCUUCCGUAGAUCUACUCAUCGAAACGAGUUCAGUGUUGUUUGCCGAAGUGACCAAGCAACAUCUAUCAUCUCUGUUGGACCAAAAGGGCAUACCACUUUCAUGUAUGGUCUCUUUUCUUUUGAUCUUACUUAUACAAGUUCCCUUUACAUCCUUUGUGUAAAGGUGAAGCCUUGGAGCUUUUUAGUGUUGAGAAACAACUGAUUAGCUCUCAAAAUGGAGAUCUGUUUCCCCUUGCUGCUGAGAUGCAGAAGUUUGUUCAUUCGCUCUCUUAUUUAAUCCAUGUAUUCCUGGACCAAGUCAAUUCAUCUCGCAUGAAAAAAACGGAUGAACAACAUGACCAAAUGGAUUUUUACCCAAAUGCAUGACCUUUUGGUAGCAAAUGUGGACUCUCAACCCUUGGCUUACCAAUGGUACUGAGAGGACCUACUCAAUGUCAAAAGUAGUUCAACAAGUUGGUUUUACUAACUUGUAACUGCCCAAUGAACAAAGGUUGAGUUUAAAGAUCGUUUUGUCGAGUUGCCUAAACUCACUUUGGUUCAACCCAUCCUAAGAAAGUUCUUACAAAGAUCAAGUUAAAGUCGACUGAUAGUCACCUAAUUAUCGCUCUAGUCAUGCCUCGAUCGCCUCACGUGUGUUUUUCCCAGCAUAUGUGAUCAAGUCAAGCCAUGCCUAGUGCUCGAUAGAAUGGACUGGUUGCAAAGUCCGCAUCUAUAGAUCCCUUCGCUGGUAAUUUUUUGAGUCUCUAUCAUUUCCUUGAGAUUGGAUUCUCUGGCUAGCCACGGGUCAACUGUGAUGUUAUUCGACAUUCACACCCAUCUCGUGUGAUAUGAAUUUAUUGUGACCACUUGUUGGUAAACCUCUUUCUGUGUGUUUUACCUAAGAGGUUGCAUCUGAUUCUGUUUGGAUAAAAUCGAGUAUUUACCGCUCGCUCAACAGACUCAGAUAGUACAGUGUCAUCAGAAAAAGCAAACUGCACACAUGGAGAUAUUGUCUCUACUAAUGGACAUUGCUAAAUUGGCUUACGCCGAUACAUGAUAUGUCCACUAGAGAAACCCUAUCCUGAGACACUCGCCUGUGCUUGAAACUGUCUUAUGAUUACCGCUGAUAUGGACGUGGGUUACAAUAUUCUCUAUUCUUAGAAGUCUUUCGUUCCGAAUCUCGAGAUGAGAUUCUUUUAAGGGGGGAGGGAUAUAACACACCUGGUGUUUAUAUUCCGCUCGACAACGAGUAUGGACUUAAGCACGCAAUAUCAGUGGAUAAAGCGGAUGCUAAAUUUUAACCAUUUUCCUCUAUCGCGAUUUUAAUAUCGCAUCUGUUUCGUUUGUCGCGAGUUCGACAUCGUUUUUAUCUAUUUGGUCUCCUCCUAAAUUUUCGUGUUGUUCGGAACAUAGUCGUUCCGAAAAUCGGCGCGUCCGAUGAUUAAUUAAAAUUCAUCGUCACGCGAAUCCGAAUUCAGAAGCUCGACCUCCUUUUACGCCUUUUUAUCCCAGACAGAUUAAUUUGAACUCGACGACUAAAAUACCCGGUGCAAAAUAAUCCGAAUCGUACGUCGUCCGAGUGAAAUCGUGUGCGAGGAUAUAAUUCAAUUUAUUCUUCGGCACGCUGUUUGGCGACGAAAUCGCGUAUGCAUUUGCGGAUCUGAUUUUGGCUAAUUUUGGUCGAAUCACGUAGAACAAAUUAUCAGUCCGAAAUCAGUUUAUUUCGGUCUGUUGUUCUCGCCUGGAUCCGAAUCUUCGGAUAUAAACAAGUAUUAAAUAAUUCGGUUCCUACUAUCCACCGUGAAAUCGUGUACGGGAAUCCAUAAUUGAGCUUCGAUUCACUGGUAAAUUAUCCUGACUGUGGAACCAGGUACUCUGACGCGGAUAAAAUUACUUGAUUUCGAAUAGAAGGAAACACAGUUUGAAAUACUGUUGUUAACAUCAUUCUGAUUUGUUCUGAUUAUGUCUCGUCCCGAUCUAAAAAUCUUAAUUUUCGAAAUAUCUGCGAUUUCUGUUAUAAAGAAAGAAUAGAAAUUGAGAAAAAAACUGAGAAAAAUCUUCUCCUACGCCGCUCACCUGCCUUGUCCGUUGAUUUUUCUGCAGCCAUUCUUCCUCUGAUUUUUACCGUCCGUCACCAGCUCUCGUUCAUCCUCAUCCUCAUCCUCCUAAGAUUUUUUUUUUCAGUCGCCGGCUGAUCUUUUUCUCCAGCGACCAAGCUCCAGUCCGGCGCUCAUCUCUCUCUGCUCGCCUUCUCCAAUCGUCGCGCAGCCCGUGGAAAACGCGUCGGCAGCGCUCAGCAAUCCUUAUCUUCAGCCGUGCGUUCUUCUUCUUUGCGCAGCAAGUCAUCUGCUCUCUGGAUAUUUUCAGCGCUAAGCAAUCCUUAUCUCCAGCCGUGUGUUCUUCUUCUUUGCGCAGCAAAUCAUCUGCUCGAUCUCCCUCUUGUUUCUCUGUUGGCGCGCACCUAGAUCUUCUUCCCCACGCGCGCAGCCAUCCUCUGCUCGGUGCUUCCUCAGUCGCGCCCUGAGGUUCUUCCCGCCCAGCUCAGCCGCUCCCUCCUCUCCUUCCCUGCUCGCCCCCGCCUCCUUGGUUCUCCUCGCCGGCGCCCUGCCUUUUCCCAACCGCGCCGGUCGCUGCUUUCCCCGACCUCGCCGGCGCUCCUCCCUCUGCCCGUUGCCAUGGCCGUCGUGAGCUCGCCCCCAACGUCGAGCUCGGCUUUGAGCUCCCUCCCUGCUCGGCUCUGCCCUCAACGCCGGCCAUUUCCUGCUCCAACCGUCGCGCCCCAAGCUUCUCUAAUCGAGCGUCGUGUGGUCGCCUGACCGCGCUCCUCCUCGGCCUCUGCUUCUCGGUAGCGCCCCUGCAUCCUCCCUCGCCGGUGACAGCUCCUGCGUGCGCGCGAUGGCCGCAAUGAAGACGCUACGUGCGCUGGUGUCCGAAGUCCGAACUCGCCCUGGUCAUGGCGCUUGCCGCUUGGCUUCUCCAGCCGCGCGUGGAACGCGCUCCCUGCCAGUGUCGUUUUCUGCUCUGCCGUUGGCAUAACAUCGUUUGUUGUUGCUAGUUGAUGCAACGUUGCCGUGCUUCGACGCCGCGCCGUGAGCAGCGACUUCGUCGAUCCGUCACUUUGCCAUGGUACUUGCGCUGCUCUCCUGUGUAUGUGAUGAUUGGAAAAAGAGUCACAGCUGAUAAAGGAUUAAGGAACGAAAGCUCUAGUACACCGCCUGCCAGUUGAUCGUCGUACAGUCUCAACCAGGGUCUCAUCAUUUUCCUUGUGAAGUUCGAGCCGAUUAUAAUUUUGGAAGGAGAUUUGGUGCUGAAGUCGAAGCCAGCAACCUCCUUAUUCUUCGUCGUCAAUUCACGUCGCGUUCGCGACCUUCUCGUCGACCCCGACGAUUUAUCUUCCAAUUGCGCGCUAGUUGCGUUGAACUCGGAAGCUACCUGUCACGCUCGAUCCUGGAGGUCUUUGUCUCGUCAUCGUUUCAGCGAAUUCCAAGGUGGUUUUAGGUAAGUUGAUUCGCUACUCCUUUUAUUUUGUUUUAAUAAAUGGAUUGAUAGAUAUGUAGGUCGCGACAAUUUUUAUUAAUUUAGCAUAUAUAUAUUGUGAUGUUCGAUUUAGAUAAAUAGGUAAAUCAAGUAAUUAAGAUACAUAGUUUAAAGAGUUAAUAAAAAACUAGGAAAAAAUAGAUUUUCUAGUGUAACAUGUAAUUUGGUUAAUGAAUAUAGUCGAUGCCCUGCUGUGAUAUCCAUGGUGCUUAAUGCUUGAUUUUAAGUGUUUCAUCCUUUUUAGUGUAGAUUAUCUAAAUUAUACUCGUAUACUCGUGCUCAUACAUGUGCAUCGUGCAUCUCAUGAGGUACGUUAAUUAAUCGAGCGAUGCGGAAGACAAGCCAAGUCGACCCCAAGCGCGGACUACUCCGCAUGGUGGUGUUGAUGGACGAACCCACCUAAUCAAGUGUUAGGACAAGGAUGAUCGUCAAGUGGACGUCGUCUAACAAACACUAACGUAGUGUUUAUUCCAGGCAAUCCCCGGUGCAUACAAUCCCUUCCUUGUAUUUUUAAAUUAUUUUUACACACUUUAAGUCUAGUGAAUGUGCAUUAAGUUUAUAGGAGUUGCUUGAAAACCCUUUGAUGCAUUGGCUACCUUGAUAUCCAUCCCUUUUAUAGAUACUUCUAGUGAAGUAUAAAAAAAAUAAUUGUCGGGGACCAUAAUUAGGGGUACCCUGAAGGCUCCUAAUUCUCAGCUGGUAACCCCCAUCAGCAUAUAGCUGCAAAGGCCUGAUGGGUACGAUUAAGUCAGGGUUCAGUCCAUUCGAGGGACUCGAUCACGCCUCGCCCGUGCCUAGCCUCGGACAAGGGCAGCCGACCCCGGAGGAUCUCCGUCUCGCCCGAGGCCCCCCCUCCAGCGGCGAACAUAUUUCCGGCUCGCCCGAGGCCCUGUCUUCGCCAAGAAGCAACCCUGACCAAAUCGCCGCACCGACCGACCGAAUCGCAGGAGCAUUUAAUGCAAAGGUGGCCUGACACCUUUAUCCUGACGCGCGCCCCCCAGCCGACAGAGCCGAAGUGACCGCCGUCACUUUGCCGCUCCACUGGCCGGUCUGACAGAAAGACAGCGCCGCCUGCGCCGCUCCGACUGCGGUGCCACUUGACACAGUGAGGCUGACAGGCAGUCAGGCCCGACCGCAGGCACCAUAGGAAGCUCCGCUUCGCCCGACCCAGGGCUCGGACUCGGGCUAAGCCCCGGAAGACGGCGAACUCCGCUCCGCCCGACCCAGGGCUCGGACUCGGGCUAAGCCCCGGAAGACGGCGAACUCCGCUCCGCCCGACCCAGGGCUCGGACUCGGGCUAAGCCCCGGAAGACGGCGAACUCCGCUCCGCCCGACCCAGGGCUCGGACUCGGGCUAAGCCCCGGAAGACGGCGAACUCCGCUCCACCCGAUCUAGGGCUCGGACUCAAGCUCAGCCCCGGAAGACGACGAACUCCGCUCCGCCCGACCCAGGGCUCGGACUCCGCCCUGGCCUCAGCCGACGGUCUCCGCCUCGCCCGAACCAGGGGCUCGGACUCGACCUCGACCACGGAAGACAGACUCGACCUCAGCUUCGGAGGAGCUUCCACAUCGCCCAACCUAGGGCGCAGACCAGCCACGUCAACAGGAGGCGCCAUCAUCACCCUACCCCGAGCUGACUCGGGCCACGGGGAACAAGACCGGCGUCCCAUUUGGCUCGCUCCGCUAGAUAGGCAAUGAUGGCGCCCCGCGUACUCUGUGACGACGGCGGCUCUCAGCCCCCUUACGGAAGCAAUAGGACGUCAGCAAGGACUCAACAGCUCCAACAGCUGUCCCUCCACCAGGCUCCAGCACUCCUCCGACGACCACGACAUCACACCAGCUGGGUGCCAAAAUCUCUCCGGCUGCCACGACGGCAUGUACUUAGGGCGCUAGCUCUCCUCCGCUAGACACGUAGCACUCUGCUAUACCCCCCAUUGUACACCUGGAUCCUCUCCUUACGCCUAUAAAAGGAAGGACCAGGGCCCUCUUAGAGAGGGUUGGCCGCGCGGGGACGAGGACGAGAACAGGCGCUCGCUUGGAGCCGCUCGCUCCCUCUCCCGCGUGGACGCUUGUAACCCCCUACUGCAAGCGCACCCGACCUGGGCGCGGGACGAACACAAAGGCCGCGGGAUUUCCACCUCUCUCACGCCUGUCUCCGACCACCUCACUUCCCCCCUUCGCGCUCGGCCUCGCGUCGACCCAUCUGGGCUGGGGCACGCGACGACAUUCACUCGUCGGCUUAGGGACCCCCCGGUCUCGAAACGCCGACAGUUGGCACGCCAGGUAGGGGCCUGCUGCGUGUUGACGAACAGCUUCCCGUCAAAGCUCCAGAUGGGCAGUCUCCAGCAACCUCUCCGACCCGGGGCGGUGCUCCGUUUCGGGAGCCUUGAGUUCAUGUCCCUCGACGGCGGCUACGACAUGAUACUCCUUCCACUGCCGGACGACAGCGACAAUGGCGGCCGACAGCCCGCCCGCCGGCGGCGGAAUCGACGACGUCUUCCCCGCGUGGUGGAAGAACAACCAUCGAGCUCGCCCCGCCCUCUUCCCCGCCGACGAAUGGGAAGGCGGGGCAACCAAGGCCGAGUAGGGGGCGACGCCUCGUCGAUUGUCGAGCGAGUCGAUAGCGCCGACACCUCAACGCGGGGCGCAUCGGGCAUCGACCUCGUGCUUGAGACGAAGACGAGCACUAUCUCCCCGCGACACACCAAUCCCGAGCAAGCGGACGACGCCAGCACGCUCGCGAAAGGCUUACUGGACGUCACCCUCGGACCUGAGACGACGAUGCAGUCAGUCCCCGACGUGACUUCAUCACCGUCCGUCGACCAAGAGGUACCGACGGAUUCCCAUCCCACGUCUUUCAGAUUUAGCCUCGACCCGCCUAGCGGCUUCGCUUUGGCGGGCGCUCUCGUUGAGGCGAGUCCAAACCCUCUGGGGUUUCGUAUGCGGUCACCUUGGGACCGGCUGACAGACGUCUCGACCUACGGGCCCUCUGGGUCCGAGGAAGACGACGAGCCCAACUUCUGUUGGGACUUCUCCGGACUUGGCAACCCCAGUACCAUGCGGGACUUCCUGACCGCAUGCGACUACUGCCUUUCCGAUUGUUCCGACGGUGGCCGUAGCCUCGGCGACGAGGGCUGCGGCCCAAGCCGCGAAUGUUUCCACGUCGAUCUAGGGGGUCCCUCCGAAGGCAACCAUCUCGGCAUGUCGGAGGAUGGUGAUCUCCCUAGGCCGGUGCCUCGCGUUGACAUCCCACGGGAGCUAGCUGUGGUCCCCGUUCAGGCGGGGGGCCAUGACCCACAGCUCGAGCAAAUCCGCGGGGUGCAGGCCAGGCUCGACGAGGAAGCAGGAACGCUUGAGCCGAUCCGCCGGGACGUCGGGCAGGCAUGGGUGGCCCAACCUCCAGCCGGAGAAAUACGUCAUCUACCCCAGGGCUUUCAGCACCGCGUCGCCGACGACGUCAGGGUCUGGCCGCCACCCGCAUCUAGUGGGGUCGGCCAGAACCUGGCUGCAGCAGCAAUGCUCCUCCGCGCGAUGCCGGAGCCAUCAACCACCGAGGGGCGGCGAAUCGAGGGAGAGCUCAAGAAUCUCCUGGAAGGCGCCGCGGUCCGACGGGCCGAGAGCUCCGCCUCCCGAAGGCAGGGAUACCCCUCGGAACCUCAUGCCGCAACUUCCCGAUUCGUGCGGGAAGCCUCGGUCUACACCGAGCGCACGCGCAACACAGCGCCUGCGGCCCCGGGUCGCCUCGGCAACGAGCACCAUCACCACGACCGUUGGGCCCACCUCGACGAGAGGGUGCGCCGAGGCUACCACCCCAGGCGUGGGGGACGCUACGACAGCGGAGAGGAUCAGAGCCCCUCGCCCGAACCACCCGGUCCGCAGGCCUUCAGCCGGGCCAUACGACGGGCGCCAUUCCCGACCCGGUUCCGACCCCCGACUACUAUCACAAAGUACUCGGGGGAGACGAGACCGGAACUGUGGCUCGCGGACUACCGUCUGGCCUGCCAACUGGGUGGAACGGACGAUGACAACCUCAUCAUCCGUAACUUCCCCCUGUUUCUCUCCGACACCGCCCACGCCUGGUUGGAGCACCUGCCUCUGGGGCAGAUCUCCAACUGGGACGACCUAGUCCAAGCUUUCGCCGGCAAUUUCCAGGGCACGUACGUGCGCCCCGGGAAUUCCUGGGACCUCCGAAGCUGCCGACAGCAGCUGGGAGAGUCUCUCCGGGACUACAUCCGGCGAUUCUCGAAGCAGCGCACCGAGCUGCCCAACAUCACCGACUCGGAUGUCAUCGGCGCGUUCCUCGCUGGCACCACCUGCCGCGACCUGGUGAGCAAGUUGGGUCGCAAGACCCCCACCAGGGCGAGCGAGCUGAUGGACAUCGCCACCAAGUUCGCCUCCGGCCAGGAGGCGGUCGAGGCUAUCUUCCGGAAGGACAAGCAGCCCCAGGGCCGCCCAUCGGAAGAUGCCCCCGAGGCGUCAACUCAGCGCGGCGCCAAGAAGAAGGGCAAGAAGAAGUCGCAAGCGAAACGCGACGCCGCCGACGCGGACCUUGUCGCUGUCGUCGAGUACAAUAACCCUCGGAAACCCCCCGGAGGUGCCAACCUCUUCGACAAGAUGCUCAAGGAGUCGUGCCCCUAUCACCAGGGGCCCGUCAAGCACACCCUUGAGGAGUGCGUCGUGCUUCGGCGCCACUUCCACAGGGCCGGGCCACCCGCGGAGGGUGGGAGGGCCCACGAUGAUGAUAAGAAGGAAGAUCACCAAGCAGGAGAGUUCCCCGAGGUCCGCGACUGCUUCAUGAUCUACGGUGGGCAAGCGGCGAAUGCCUCGGCUCGGCACCGCAAGCAAGAGCGCCGGGAGGUCUGUUCGGUAAAGGUGGCGGCGCCAGUCUACCUAGACUGGUCCGACAGGCCCAUCACCUUCGACCAAGCCGACCACCCCGACCAUGUGCCGAGCCCGGGGAAAUACCCGCUCGUCGUCGACCCCAUCAUCGGCGACGUCAGGCUCACCAAGGUCCUCAUGGACGGAGACAGCAGUCUCAACAUCAUCUACGCCGAGACCCUCGGGCUCCUGGGUGCCGAUCUGUCCUCCGUCCGGGCAGGCGCUGCGCCCUUCCAUGGGAUCAUUCCCGGGAAGCGCGUCCAGCUCCUCAGACAACUCGACCUUCCCGUCUGCUUCGGAACACCCUCCAACUUCCGAAGGGAGACCCUGACGUUCGAGGUGGUCGGGUUCCGAGGAACCUACCACGCGGUACUGGGAAGACCAUGCUACGCGAAGUUCAUGGUCGUCCCCAACUACACCUACCUGAAGCUCAAGAUGCCGGGCCCCAACGGGGUCAUCACCGUCGGCCCCACGUACAAACACGCAUUCGAAUGCGACGUGGAGUGCAUGGAGUACGCCGAGGCCCUCGCCGAGUCCGAGGCCCUCAUCGCCGACCUGGAGAGCCUCUCUAAGGAGGUGCCAGACGUAAAGCGUCAUGCCGGCAACUUUGAGCCAGCGGAGACGGUUAAGCCCGUCCCCCUCGACCUCAGCGGCGACACCUCCAAGCAGAUCCGGAUCGGCUCCGGGCUCGAUCCCAAAUAGGAAGCAGUGCUCGUCGACUUUCUCCGCGCGAACGCCGACGUCUUCGCGUGGAGUCCCUCGGACAUGCCCGGCAUACCGAGGGAUGUCGCCGAGCACUCGCUGGACAUCCGAGCCGGAGCCUGACCCGUCAAGCAGCCUCUGCGCCGAUUCGACGAGGAGAAGCGCAGAGCCAUAGGCGAGGAGAUCCACAAGCUAAUGGCGGCAGGGUUCAUCAAAGAGGUAUUCCAUCUCGAAUGGCUUGCCAACCCUGUGCUUGUGAGAAAGAAAGGGGGGAAAUGACGGAUGUGUGUAGACUACAGUGGUCUAAACAGGGCAUGUCCGAAGGUUCCCUACCCUCUGCCUCGCAUCGAUCAAAUCGUGGAUUCCACUGCUGGGUGCGAAACCCUGUCUUUCCUCGAUGCCUACUCAGGGUAUCACCAAAUCAGGAUGAAAGAGUCCGACCAACUCGUGACUCCUUUCAUCACACCCUUUGGCAUGUGCUGCUAUGUCACCAUGCCGUUCGGCUUGAGGAAUGCGGGCGCGACGUACCAGCGGUGCAUGAACCAUGUGUUCGGCGAACACAUUGGCCGCACGGUCGAGGCCUACGUCGAUGACAUCGCAGUUAAGAUGAGGAAAGCCUCCGACCUCCUUUCCGACCUUAAAGUGACAUCCCGAUGUCUCAAGGCGAAAGGCGUCAAGCUCAAUCCCGAAAAGUGUGUCUUCGGGAUGCCCCGAGGCAUGCUCUUGGGGCUCAUUGUCUCCAAGCGGGGCAUCGAAGCCAACCCGGAGAAGAUCGCAGCCAUCAUGCAGCGCCCCGAGCCCUUGAUUGAAGACACCCGGGGGCUACACGCACCUCUGGGAAGGGCCGCUUGUCAUCGCCAGAGCUCUGAAGCCCGGGACAAACGAACUGGCCGACGGUCAAGGCGAAGUCUACACCAACACUUCGAACGUCUAACAGCUACGUUGCUUCUACCCUUAAGAUGCUUUCGAGUUGUCCCCUUACCUUGCCCCCGUGCAAGUUUUAGUCGUCAAGGAAGGGUCAGCCCUGCCUCUGCAGAACCCGACCCUCCCUCGGGGGCUAAAAAGGGGGGAACCCCUCUGCGUCAAAAUUUUCAAUCGAAAAGACCUUUGCGUUCCCCCGGCUAUGUCAGAAGCAGGACCCCAAGGAGCGAACGCGGGUGCAUGUAAGUGGCAAGGCCGACUGAGCCGAGGGACUCCUACGCCUCCGUGUUACGGACACCUCACUCGUCACCCGCCACGAAAAGUGACCCCUACUUGGGGAAUCCACCCUGCUACUGACAGGCGGGGCCGGACACGCAAAAUGAAAGGGAAAGGAGUACGACUUCGUGCAACGGUAACAAAGUGUUCAGGCCCCAGCGGCCGCAGAAAGACACACGCGCAUCCAACAGAAACUGCUCCGACAGAGUUAGGCGUCGCCCCGGGAAGGAGCCGCGCCUUCGGCUUCGUCCCCGACCUCGGCAAAGUCCAUCCCGGCUUCGGACGACGACGCAGGUGGGAGGAUCUCUGCCUCAAAGGUGGACGCCAGCACUGCGCUCGGACCCGCGGCGGCCGCAUCAAGCCUCUGGACUUCUGCCAGGGCGGCUUCAUCUUUGUCAGGAAGGCAAUACCCCUCGCUGACCCGCUCCAGGUCCACAACGUAGUGGGAAGCGAGCACGGCGAAGGCCCGCCUGACGCCGUGGUGUAGCGCCUCGCGGAGUCUGCCGCGCACAUGAUCGCCCAAGACCUGCAGGCGACUUUGAGGGGAGCUUCCUGAGGGGACGUCGCCGGAGCCAAGGACCCGACAAAAGUCCGAGACGGCCUCGGACAUGGCCACGUGGUCGGCCUCCCUCUGCUCGGCCGCCCCGGCAAGCGCCUCGGCAAGCGCCUUGGCGGACUCAUCAAGGGCGGACUCGAGCUCUGCGAACAGCCAGAAGAAAGAUCUCAAACACAAGCGAAGGAAACAAGCAGAAACAAAAACCGAAGAUGGCCAAGGCGUACCUCCGGCUCGGGCACGCUGCUCCGAGGCUGCGACCUGGGCUACGGCUAGGUCGGCUGCAAGGGCUUCAGCCCGGCUUUCAGCCUCGGCAGCCCGGCCCCGAGAUUGGUCCCGCUCAUUGACGAUCCGGUCGAACUCCGACUGCUGUCGUUGCACUUCUGCGCGCGCCGCAGCCGCCUCCGCGCGUGCCGUUGCCGCCUCGGCUCUCAGAUCGGUGCAGAGCAACCGAAGGUCCGCCGCCUCGGCACCCUGCUGAGAGAGGCGUGCAGUAGCCCCGGCGAGCGAGGUCCUCAGGGAUCGCAGCGAGCCCCAGACGUCGACCUCGCGGCGGAUGAACGACGACUUGGCGGCGCUCAGAUCCGUCAGAUCCUGAAGGAAGGAAGCGAGGCGUCACGAGAGACGCCUUGGUCACAAAAGAGAAAAGGUAUGCCUGAAACCGUUACCUGGAGGAUUUUUGGGACGUCCCUGCAGAAAACCUCCAGCGACGACCGGAGCGACCCCACCGUUGCUUCGGCACACUCGCGGAGCUCGUCCCAGGACUGGUCCUCCCGUUCAUCGUCGAGAACGAAGACGGGAUCCGAGGCCUCACGGGUCCGGAACCGGAGCAACUGGCGCCGACCCUCGGAGCUCCGCCGCACAGCGACAAGGCUGCCGCCCGGCGGGACGGGUCGCGUCUCCACGCCCCCCUCCUCCGAGGCACCAAGCGCCGACGCCUCAGCCGUCUCUGCGUCGGCAGCGACCGGUCGCUCCCCGACUGGGACGGCGGCGGUUUCAGUAGCGACAGGUGCCAGCACCGUCGGCACGUCCGGUGGGGCCGGGGCCACGUCCGCAUCAGCCGCCUCCCCUAGCACGAUGGCCGCCUCGGCAGAAGAGCCGGCCUCGGGAACUCGCUCCACGGCGACUGGCGCCACCUGAGCUCCCUGCUGUGGAGCACCUUGCAAAAAGGUCAGCUGAACGGCAAGGCCCGGAGCGGCGCCGGCCGCGCAAGCUGACGCUGUCUUAAGGGCCUUUCGGGGAGCCAGAUCGGUCAGGCCAUGGCUUCGCUUGCUGAGGGGAAAAGAAAAAUCACGGCCGAGGCAUACGAAUGAAAAGCCAGGACAAAGACGUUCCAAGAUACUUACCCGCUCCGGGCCAUGAUCAACCGUGCCUGGGGGGAGGUCUCUCGGAUCUCGACCCCCGAAGGCGCCGCCGAGGUCUGCUCCGCCGGCAGCUUCGGCACCACCCUUACUUUGGGCGCUUUGAACGCCCGGGGCGCGGACUGCCCAGGCACUGCCACCGCGACCUGAGGGUCGCUCUCCCGCGGUGCCGGCGUGGGCGACGGCUCUCGGGGAGCAGACGCCUCGACCUGGCUCCUCGGGGCCGCCUCAACUCUCCCAGCCGAGAGGUCAAGUACCCUCUCGGAUUGCCCCCUCUCCUCGGGCCAGGACCCCGGCGUCCCGACUCCGGGGACUGACGGCAUCAGCCCGCUCGGGGGCUGGCCUGACGGCUCCUGGCCUAACCUCAAGCCAGGGCUGAGGCCAAGGCGGGCUGCCAUGUCGUCUUCCUCGUCAUCAUCUUCAUCAUCGUCGUCGUCAUCAGGCGUUUCCGGCGACGGCUCCCUCGGGAGCCCCUCCCUCUCCUGCCGACGACGAAGCUUUUCCAAGGCGUCUCGAGCCCGCAUCCGCUCGCGGGCCCGGGCCUUCUCCGCGUCCUUCUUUUUCUUCUUCUCCUCCGCAGCGACCCGCCGCGCUGCUUGGUCCACCGCAUCCUGCGGGACCCGUGGCAGGGAAGGCUUGUGCCACCCCACCUCCUGAAGACGGAGGGAAAUCCCAACCAUAAGAACCAGGAGCAACCCGAUGCAAGAGGAAGGAAGGAGCGGACACUCACCAGAGUCACGCACCCUUGGUCGGGGCGCAUCGAAGGCUGGGAGAAGGCGCUGAGGUCCGGUUUCCCCAACGCGACGGCCACCCGCCCAUGGAGGACGUCGAAGGGAAGAGGAUCCGAGGACAUCCGCGAGCCCUCCAAAUCAGCCUCCGGUGUCAUCUCCCAAAGCGGCAACCGACGCUCCGCCAAGGGAAGCACCCUCCGGCGGUGGAUGGCGGCAAUCACUCCCGCGGCGGUGAGACCCCCUUUCUGCAACGCCUCCAAGGCCUUGAGAAGGGGCUCCAGGUUCUUCUAUCUUUCGUGCGGGGUCCCGUGGCGCCAAGCAUCGGCGGCGACGGUGACUACUCGCUAGGAGAACGGCGGGAGCAACUCGCCGUCAUUCUGGAGGUAGAACCACCGGCGCUGCCACCCUUUGUUCGAGGACGCAAGGAUGGCGGGAAUAUACAGUGACGCCCGCGACUGCCUCAGCUGGAGGAUGCAGCCGCCGGCCCGCACUGCCGCGCGGACCCUUCUCUCCCCGUCGGCGAAGCGAAAAGCUCCGCGAAAAAGAGAUGGGUCCACAAGUCCCAGUGGGGGGCGAUCCCCAAGAACCCAUCGCACACCGCUACGAAGAUGGCGGCCUGUGAGAUGGAGUUGGGGCUGAGGUUGUGCAACUCCACCCCGUAAUGGUGUAGGAUCGCCCGCAUAAAGCGGCUCGCCGGCACCCCGAAUCCCUGCUCGUGGAAGGAGACGAAGCUCACGAUGUACCCCAGUGGUGGGGACGAAGCGGCUCCACUCACGGGGGGAAUCCAUUCCGGCCGCCUCUCAUCAGAGAGAGGGCGAAGUAAACCCUCAGCAACAAGAUCCUCCAGAUCGCCCAUCGUCACUGUGGAGAAAGGCCAUGGGUCGCGCGGCGACAUGAUGGUCACCCGGUCGGCCAUCACCUAGCAGAGGGGGUGGCGGCACAAAGGACAGGGUGGGCAGUUUCCUUUUCUCUAGCUAAGUCUCUCGGGUCGCGAAAACCUAAGAGGGAGACAGGAAGCAGAGCAAAGAACCAUCGCCAGACCCUCCCCCGAGUAUAUAAAGACCAAAGCGAGACCGUUUCAACGCUCCGCCCGGACCGGCCGCGGGAUUCAAAAACACGAAGCAAAACAGCCGUUCCUCGAACGGCUCGCGACUCGCGCGCGCGCAACGGCCGCCCCGCAAACCACACGCCCCGUCGCAUUAACUCCGCGGCGGGACAGGCGGCGCCUCUAGCAGGAGAAGCGGGCGACGCUUCGCCUUCGCCAUAAUGACUGCGUCAGAAAAGGUACGCCGUGUCGAUUCGAUUUCGUAUCCUUUUCCUUUUUUCCUCUUUCUCUCUCUUGCAACAGGGACCGAGAAAGGGGGAUACCCCGAAAAGGAUCCUUCCCCGUGAAGGAACCAGGCUCCGAGCCUCCCUACUGAUCAGAGGUUCGAAGGCUGGCCCCUCGGAAGGGUUCAACAGCCGCCUCAGAGCGCGUGGGCUCCACACCCACUACUGGUCAGAGGUUCGAAGGCCGGCCCCUCGGAAGGGUUCAACGGCCGCCUCAGGCUACUCGGGCUCCGCGCCCACUACUGAUCAGGGGUUCGAAGGCUGGCCCCCGAAGGGUUCACAGCCGCCUCAGACACAGAGCGAGGGAUGACCAUGGGUACGUUCGAUACAUAACCAAGGCUCGGGCUGCGCUCCCGAGGUACCCUAGGGCAUUUCCGAGACCAGCGGGAACGAUCUUGUAACGGAAUCCCAUCGGAGGGAGGCAUCGAGCCCUCGGACCCCGUCGCCAGGGGACCGGACCCGCAGGUACUUUUGGGCGCGCCUCUGGGCCCCUAGCCGACCCCUAACGAACGGGGCACGGACGUCCACUCGGAUUACCCGCCUGCAGCUCACCGGAGACACCAUGUUCGGCGCCCACCGAGGGCAACAUGGCGCUUCCCCCCUCCUCCUUGCGGAAAGGCGACGCAAGGGCGUAUAUAAGAAAGUCGAGUCUGUCCCUGAUCGCCCUCUCGCCCUGUGCAGAGGCUCGGGGGCUGCUCUCGCAAACCCAGCUCCGGCCACACCGUUGACAGCGUCAACAUACCAGCCCAAGAACUUGGGACCCGACUGUACACCCGGGCUACGGCCAGCUCGCAUGAGGGAACGACCAGACCAGCCGAAGCAUUGCGCGAGGCAUUAAGACCUCGGAGGAGUCAAACCACUCCUCCGAGGCCUCGGGGGCUACACCCGGCGAGUGCGCUCGCGCGCUCCCGCUGGCACAAAACACAACCGAGAAAGGCUGGUCCCCUUGCAAAAAAGUGCGACGAAAGCCUCUAAGCGAGUGCUAACACUCCCUUCGAGGCUCGGGGGCUACUGUCGGGGACCAUAAUUAGGGGUACCCUCAAGGCUCCUAAUUCUCAGCUGGUAACCCCCAUCAGCAUAAAGCUGCAAAGGCCUGAUGGGUACGAUUAAGUCAGGGAUCAGUCCAUUCGAGGGACUCGAUCACGCCUCGCCCGAGCCUAGCCUCGGACAAGGGCAGCCGACCCCGAAGGAUCUCCGUCUCGCCCGAGGCCCCCCCUCCAGCGGCGAACAUAUUUCCGGCUCGCCCGAGGCCCUGUCUUCGCCAAGAAGCAACCCUGACCAAAUCGCCGCACCGACCGACCGAAUCGCAGGAGCAUUUAAUGCAAAGGUGGCCUGACACCUUUAUCCUGACGCGCGCCCCCCAGCCGACAGAGCCGAAGUGACCGCCGUCACUUCGCCGCUCCACUGGCCGGUCUGACAGAAAGACAGCGCCGCCUGCGCCGCUCCGACUGCGGUGCCACUUGACACAGUGAGGCUGACAGGCAGUCAGGCCCGGCCACAGGAACCAUAGGAAGCUCCGCUUCGCCCGACUCAGGGCUCGGACUCGGGCUAAGCCCCGGAAGACGGCGAACUCCGCUCCGCCCAACCCAGGGCUCGGACUCGGGCUAAGCCCCGGAAGACGGCGAACUCCGCUCCGCCUGACCCAGGGCUCGGACUCGGGCUAAGCCCCGGAAGACAGCGAACUCCGCUCCGCCCGACCCAGGGCUCGGACUCGGGCUAAGCCCCGGAAGACGGCGAACUCCGCUCCGCCCGACCCAGGGCUCGAACUCGGGCUAAGCCCCGGAAGACGGCGAACUCCGCUCCGCCCGACCCAGGGCUCGGACUCGGGCUAAGCCCCAGAAGACGGCAAACUCCGCUCCACCCGAUCCAGGGCUCGGACUCGAGCUCAGCCCCGGAAGACGACGAACUCCGCUCCGCCCGACCCAGGGCUCGGACUUGUGCUCAGCCCCAGAAGACGACGAACUCUGCUCCGACUGACCCCAGGGCUCGGACUCCGCCCUGGCCUCAGCCGACGGUCUCCGCCUCGCCCGAACCAGGGGGCUCGGACUCGACCUCGGCCACGGAAGACAGACUCAACCUCGGCUUCGGAGGAGCUUCCACAUCGCCCAACCUAGGGCGCAGACCAGCCACGUCAACAGGAGGCGCCAUCAUCACCCUACCCCGAGCUGACUCGGGCCACGGGGAACAAGACCGGCGUCCCAUCUGGCUCGCUCCGCCAGAUAGGCAAUGAUGGCGCCCUGCGUACUCUAUGACGACGGCGGCUCUCAGCCCCCUUACGGAAGCAAGAGGACGUCAGCAAGGACUCAACAGCUCCGACAGCUGUCCCUCCACCAGGCUCCAACACUCCUCCGACGGCCACGACAUCACACCAGCUGGGUGCCAAAAUCUCUCCGGCUGUCACGACGACAUGUACUUAGGGCGCUAGCUCUCCUCCGCUAGACACGUAGCAGUCUGCUAUACCCCCCAUUGUACACCUGGAUCCUCUCCUUACGCCUAUAAAAGGAAGGACCAGGGCCCUCUUAGAGAGGGUUGGCCGCGCGGGGACGAGGACGAGAACAGGCGCUCGCUUGGAGCCGCUCGCUCCCUCUCCCGCAUGGACGCUUGUAACCCCCUACUGCAAGCGCACCCGACCUGGGUGCGGGACGAACACGAGGCCACGGGAUUUCCACCUCUCUCACGCCUGUCUCCGGCCACCUCACUUCCCCCUUCGCGCUCGGCAUCGCGUCGACCCAUCUGGGCUGGGGCACUCGGCGACAUUCACUCGUCGGCUUAGGGACCCCCCGGUCUCGAAACGCCGACAAUAAUUUACAAAAAAUGCUUAGCCUUGCUUAUAAGCAGAUAGAGUUUGUCCUUUGCACUUAUGCCUAGCUCAGGUUUAUCCUGAGGAAGGAUGAUUUCUACCUGCAAGAAUAUUUUCAUUGGGAGCAUGGUGGGAUCUUACUGCAAAGUUCCCUAUAAUGCUCUUUUCAUCCUGGGGAGCACAAACACUCCUAAGGAUGGAAGUACUUAAAUCGGGACUUGGGCUAGGAACAGGUGAUGCUCCGCCCAGGUUAAUUAAGGAUUGGAUGCGUAUGUAGGCCUGUUGAUCAAGGACUAUCUUAACUAGCCACAUGCCCUGAAAAUGGGACAGGGUAAGCUUGAACCCGGCUAUUCCAUACGUGAAAAGACAACCGCGCACUGGGCGUGGGAGAUGGUGGGAGUAGCGUGUACCCUCCUGGCUAGAGGCUGGAUGGAGGAGUACUGUGCUCCCGGGUAGCGCGGACCGGUUCACGUUGUGGAGGAUCUGUGGGAACGGUUGACAUAUGCAAGGGUUAAGUGCUACAUAUGUCGUGUGGUUAGAAAUCCUCAGCUGAGUAAAUCGAUUCGGAUCGCCGUUAUAUCCCCGGAGAGUGGAGACUUGAUCUCCGACCUGCAACCUAAGUCAGGAUGUAAACAUUACGAGUAAAAAUGAUGUUGUAUUGAUGAGAUGGUGAAAUUAGACUAGGUGCAAACAGAGUCUAUUAAUAUUUAAUCUGGCAUUAAAAUAUUGAAAGUAAGGACUCACUUUAGUAAGCUUUUUCUGCAAAAGUAUCUAAGUUGAUUCUUGCUAAAAGCCUCUCCUUGAUUCCUAAAUCCAGCAUAUCCUUGAGAGUCUUUUUCCUUAGUCGGGUAAGACUUGCGAAAGUACACUUCGUACUCAGGGCUUUGUCCCAUGUUGUUUUAGGUGAAGAGCCUGUGGAGCUUUGCCACUUUUGUGCAAAGGUGGUUCCCAAGCAG
rnacentral:lncRNA from 1 species